rnacentral:rRNA from 1 species
AUUGAACGCUGGCGGCAUGCCUAACACAUGCAAGUCGAACGGCAGCGCGGGCUUCGGUCUGGCGUCGUGUGGCGAACGGGCGAGUAAUUCAUCCGAACGUACCCUGCUGAGGGGGCUGAGUUAUCGACAGAUUACCUAAUACCGUAUACGACCUGAGGGUGAACGUGGGGGAUCGGAAAUGGACUCAUGUAUUGCGAGCGGCUGAUGUCUGAUUAGCUAGUUGGUAGGGUAAAGGCCCACCAAGGCGACGAUCAGUAGCUGGUCUGAGAGGAAGAUCAGCCACACUGGAACUGAGACACGGCCCAGACUCCUACGGGAGGCAGCAGUGGGGAAUUUUGGACAAUGGGGGCAAGCCUGAUCCAGCAAUGCCGCGUGUGUGAAGAAGGCCUUCGGGUUGUAAAGCACUUUUGUCCGGAAAGAAAACGCGCUGGUUAAUACCUGGCGUGGAUGACGGUACCGGAAGAAUAAGCACCGGCUAACUACGUG